UACUAUACUAAAAUAAUAUAAAAAACUAGAAUAUUAAAAGAUACAAACUUAAAAUUCAAAGAAUUUGGCGGUAAUUUAGUCUUUCCAGAGGAACCUGUUUUUUAAUCGAUAAACCACGAAGAAUCUUACUUACCUUUGUAGAAUUAUAAGUUUGUAUACCGUCAUUAUCAGAUAAUAUUUAGAGAUAAGAUUAUUGUAUGUUUAAAUAGUAAAAAAAAUUAGAUCAAGGUGCAGCUAAUAGGUAAGUCAAAAUGGGUUACAAUAAAUUAAUAUUAAUAAUGGAUAAAGAUUUGAAAAAAUCUUUGGAAGGAGGAUUUGGUUGUAAUUAAAAUUAGUAUGAUUAAAAGAUAUAAGCUCUAAAUUA
rnacentral:rRNA from 1 species